GCCUGGGUGGCUCAGUCGGUUGAGCGUCCGACUUCGGCUCAGGUCACGAUCUCACGGUCUGUGAGUUCGAGCCCCACGUCAGGCU
rnacentral:tRNA from 1 species